AUUGAACGCUGGCGGCAUGCCUUACACAUGCAAGUCGAACGGUAACGGGCCUUCGGGUGCCGACGAGUGGCGAACGGGUGAGUAAUGUAUCGGAACGUACCUUUCAGUGGGGGAUAACGUAGCGAAAGUUACGCUAAUACCGCAUAUUCUGUGAGCAGGAAAGCAGGGGAUCGCAAGACCUUGCGCUGAUUGAGCGGCCGAUCUCAGAUUAGCUAGUUGGUGAGGUAAAGGCUCACCAAGGCGACGAUCGGUAGCGGGUCUGCGAGGAUUAUUCUCCACACUGGAACUGAGACACGGUCCAAACUCCUACGGGAGGCAGCAGUUGGGAAUUUUGGACGAUGGGGGCAACCCUGAUCCAGCCAUGCCUCGUGAGUGAAGAAGGCCUUCGGGUUGUAAAGCUCUUUCGGCCGGGAAAAAAUCGGGCAGGCUAAUAUCCUGUCUGGAUGAUGGUACCGGAAUAAGAAGCACCGGCUAACUACGUGCCAGCCGCCGCCGUAACAC
rnacentral:rRNA from 1 species